ensembl:lncRNA
AACACAGAUUAGUAAUGAAUAACAUACUACAGUACAGUAAUUAGACUCGGGAGCCGGUAUGAAGGAAGGAUCCAGUUUAAUAAAAGCACAUCAGGCCUUCGACACGCAGGAAAGCCAAGUACCCCCCCCCCUCUCUCUCUCUCCAGUUUGAUGUAGUUCCAGUGCAAAGGCCAAUAUCCAAGGAUGGGUUAGAGAAUUAUAUAACCUUAAGAGUAUUAUAUAACCCUAACCCAAUGUCAAAGGAUAGAUUCCACAAACUAAUCUAUAGAACACACAUUGCAAUGCGACCCCACACACUUAUAUUUAUAUAUGUGCAACGCCACACGCUUAUAUUUAUAUAUGAGCCAAGCCACACGCUUAUAUUUAUAUAUGUGCAACGCCACACGCUUAUAUUUAGAUGUGUGUGUUUAUAUUUAUAUAUGUGUGUUUAUGUAAAGAAAUCAGCCCCAUGCCAUUAGAGCUUGGUAGUGCUUUUGUGUUUGGGAUGCCUGUGACUACAUGAUGAUCUGUGUCUCAUGACCAGUAAGAGGUGCCCACCCCCUCAGAGGAGGCUAUGCUGGACACACACACACACGCACACGCACACGCACACGCACACGCACAGACACACACACACACAGAACCCAGGAACAUGAUGGUUGCCAUGGUGUCCUGAGGAGCAUGAUGGUUGUCAUGGUAUCCUGAGGAGCAUGAUGGUUGUCAUGGUAUCCUGAGGAGCAUGAUGGUUGUCAUGGUAUCCUGAGGAGCAUGAUGGUCGUCAUGGUGUCCUGAGGAGGAUGAUGGUUGUCAUUGCACUCCCAGGAGCAUGAUGGUUGUCAUGGUAUUCCUCAGUCUGUACAAACCCUCAUAUAAAUCAGGAAGUCCUUACAAAACACUCUCAUAUGAAUCAGGAUGAUGUGUCCCAUCAGAUCACACACCACCCCCCCCCCCCUCCUCCUCCUCCUCCUCCUCCUCGUCCCCACCCGCUGUGGCUCACUCCGGGGGCUUCUUCUUGGCCUCCACAUCCUUCUUGAACUCUUCAAUCCUCUUCGAAAUGUUGGGUACCUGACACACACACACACA